rnacentral:rRNA from 1 species
AUUGAACGCUGGCGGCAGGCCUAACACAUGCAAGUCGAACGGUAACAGGAAGAAGCUUGCUUCUUUGCUGACGAGUGGCGGACGGGUGAGUAAUGUCUGGGAAACUGCCUGAUGGAGGGGGAUAACUACUGGAAACGGUAGCUAAUACCGCAUAACGUCGCAAGACCAAAAAGGGGGACCUUCGGGCCUCUUGCCAUCGGAUGUGCCCAGAUGGGAUUAGUUAGUAGGUGGGGUAACGGCUCACCUAGGCGACGAUCCCUAGCUGGUCUGAGAGGAUGACCAGCCACACUGGAACUGAGACACGGUCCAGACUCCUACGGGAGGCAGCAGUGGGGAAUAUUGCACAAUGGGCGCAAGCCUGAUGCAGCCAUGCCGCGUGUAUGAAGAAGGCCUUCGGGUUGUAAAGUACUUUCAGCGGGGAGGAAGGGAGUAAAGUUAAUACCUUUGCUCAUUGACGUUACCCGCAGAAGAAGCACCGGCUAACUCCGUG